UACGGAGGAUGCAAGCGUUAUCCGGAAUGAUUGGGCGUAAAGCGUCCGCAGGUGGCUAUGUGAGUCUGCUGUUAAAGAGUGAGGCUCAACCUCAUAAGAGCAGUGGAAACUACAUGGCUAGAGUGCGUUCGGGGCAGAGGGAAUUCCUGGUGUAGCGGUGAAAUGCGUAGAGAUCAGGAAGAACACCGGUGGCGAAAGCGCUCUGCUAGGCCGCAACUGACACUGAGGGACGAAAGCUAGGGGAGCGAAUGGG
rnacentral:rRNA from 1 species